CAGCAGCACAAGUCAAUCAAAAAUGUUUUAAACCAAUCAGAAACAAGCAUCACAUUCAUAUAAAGCCCAGACAGGCACUGGUCAGAGUAAUUUGUUCACAGCUCACUGACAUUGUCUAUUGUGUUGGAUUGCACUUGAUUAUUUUGAUUCUUAUUCUGAUCCCCCCGCUCUCUCUUCCACCUGUCUUACCCUCAUUUGUUAGUCAAUUAUUGUUUUUUACCAUUUUUUUCACACUCUGCUGUUCCUUCAUUUUACUACCCUGUCUCUCCUGUCGCGCAUCGCGGCCUUUUCAAUGUGAUCACGCUGCUGUUGACAGGGUCUGAGGCUAGCAGGUAGGGUACUGUGGGUGGGGGGAGAGUGGGGGACUGUUUCUAUACCGGUGGGCCGCUCCAGCUACAUUUGUGCGCGAACAUCGACCAUCUUAAAUCUCACAUUACCGCGAGAUUCACGUUGGCCAUUUUUUUUCAAACCAGAUUGUGAUUCUCAUUACCUGAACAAUUUACCUAUUAAACAGUGUGGUUUACUCCUGCAUAUAUGCCUGGAAAUUAUAGACCUGUGAGCUUAACUUCUGUAACUGGGAAGAUAUUUGAAGGGCUAUUAAGGGAUAAUAUUCAGGAAUUCAUUGGGAAGAACUUUGUUAUUAGCAAUAAUCAGGAUGGUUUUAUGAAAC